AGUGAACGCUGGCGGUAGGCCUAACACAUGCAAGUCGAACGGCAGCACAGUAAGAGCUUGCUCUUACGGGUGGCGAGUGGCGGACGGGUGAGGAAUACAUCGGAAUCUACUUUUUCGUGGGGGAUAACGUAGGGAAACUUACGCUAAUACCGCAUACGACCUACGGGUGAAAGCAGGGGAUCUUCUGACCUUGCGCGAUUGAAUGAGCCGAUGUCGGAUUAGCUAGUUGGCGGGGUAAAGGCCCACCAAGGCGACGAUCCGUAGCUGGUCUGAGAGGAUGGUCAGCCACACUGGAGCUGAGACACGGUCCAGACUACUACGGGAGGCAGCAGUGGGGAAUAUUGGACAAUGGGGGGAAGCCUGAUCCAGCCAUACCGCGUGGGUGAAGAAGGCCUUCGGGUUGUAAAGCCCUUUUGUUGGGAAAGAACAGCAGCAGGUUAAUACCCCGCUGUUCUGACGGUACCCAAAGAAUAAGCACCGGCUAACUUCGUG
rnacentral:rRNA from 1 species